CAGAAGGAUCAUUAUUGAAUUGUAAAAAUGGGGAGUCGCUUUCGAGCACUCCUCUACCUUUCUUUAUUCCUAAACACCUGUGAAUCGUUGCUGAGUUCGCUCAGUGGCACCAAUUUAAACACAUUUAUAGUUUUGAACGUAAAAAAACAAAAAACAAAAAUAUAACUUUUGACAACGGAUCUCUUGGUUCUCCCAUCGAUGAAGAACGCAGCGAAAUGCGAUAAGUAAUGUGAAUUGCAGAAUUCAGUGAAUCAUCGAAUCUUUGAACGCACCUUGCGCUCCUUGGUAUUCCUUGGAGCAUGCCUGUUUGAGUGUCUUGAAUAUCUCUACUCCUCAACUUUUUAAAUAAGGUUGGUUUGGGAGUAGGUCCUUGGGGCUUGCUUGCGGUUUGUUACGAACCCCAUGCUUGGCCUUAAAUGCAUUAACUGGGAUUUCAGUAGAGUUGGUUAAGUAACCUUGAAAACUUCUCCUAAUACCGAAUCCUGCUUCUAACCCCGUCCUCCUUAUUGGCCCCCAUAUUCCUUUUCUUUGGCCCUCAAAUCGGUAGGGACUACCCCGCUGAACCUUAACAUAUCAAUAAGCCGGAAGAAAAGAAACUAACCAGGAUUCCCCCAGUAACGGCGAGUGGAGCGGGAUGAGCUCCAAUUUGAAAGCUGGCCGCCAUGUCCGCGUUGUAAUCUCGAGAGAUGUUUUCCGCGUUGGACCACGUACAAGUUCCUUGGAAUAGGAUGUCAUAGAGGGUGAAAAUCCCCUACUUGAUGUGGACGCCCCAGUGCUUUG
rnacentral:rRNA from 1 species